rnacentral:rRNA from 1 species
UACGUAGGGGCGAGCGUUGUCCGGAUUUACUGGGCGUAAAGGGUGGGUAGGCGGUUGUAUAUGUCAGGUGUAAAAGGACUAUUGCUUAACCAUGGUUAGCACUUGAAACUGUACAACUUGAGUGCAGGAGAGGUAAGUGGAAUUCCUAGUGUAGCGGUGAAAUGCGUAGAUAUUAGGAGGAACACCAGUGGCGAAGGCGACUUACUGGACUGUAACUGACGCUGAGUCACGAAAGCGUGGGUAGCAAACAGGAUUAGAUACCCUGGUAGUCCCUGA